rnacentral:lncRNA from 1 species
AUGGGGUCUGCAUGGUGUCGGCUCUGCUGCGCGGUGGCUGUGCCUGGCUUGCAGCGCCCCAGUUUGUUCACCUGGGCUUUGCACUUCGGCCUCUCCGCUGCAGCCGGUGUUUCCUCUCCACUUUGCGCUGCCCGGGCUGGUGCUUUUGGCUGGUGUUUUCCCUGGGGAGGGUCCAUCCCGGGGCAGCUCCGGAUCUGCGGUCAGAUCGAAACCUGUCGGGCGCGUGGCGCGGGGCUAGUUCCCAUUCUGGGCUCACAGGGCGCCGCGGGCGCCAGCCAAGCGAAACCCGCCGGCCCGCAAAGCCCAUCGGCCGCGAAAGGGAAAGCGUGGCAGCUCCUGCGAGCCCCCCGGCACGGGGCCGGCUGGGCCUCAUGGGGGGACACCCCGGCCCUCAGUGGCCCCUGGGGGUCUCCAGCGCCCCGGAGCCCCUCGCCUGAGGCAGGGUCGCUGGUGSGGAGCACCCCCGGGAUGGCUGAUCCUGCCCUGCCAUCAGCCCUGGGGUUUCCCCAGGUGAACCUCUCGCCCUGCUGUCCCCCCCCGCUUGGCCAUCGCAUGGCUCCACCCGGCGUCCUCGUCCCCGCUGGCGGAGCCCAAAGCAGGUGGGAGCUUUGGGGACUGGUGACAUGGCGCUGCCAGCCCCACUGCUGCGCCAGCUCGUGCACGGGAGGGAACCGGCCGUCCCACCUCUCGCCGCCAGCCUUGCCAGCCCCGCAGCUGGGAGUUUCGCUGGCGCCUGCUGUAUUAGAUGUGGGUGACCAGGAGGUGUCCCUGCAACCUAAAGGUUGCUCUGGCCGAGCCUGGGGAGAUGUUGGCCUGACCUGCCGCGAGGUGGUGGCAUCUCUAUCUCCAUCCCCUCUCCGGUCUCUGUUUCCACGUCCAUCUCUUCUUUCCAGCAUCUCCUCUCUCCACAUCCAUCGCCCCUCUCUCCCUAUCAUCUCCUCUCCUGGCCUGGGCAAGGGAGCGUUCACACCCUCGGGAAUGACGUGCCUCCAGGAGGGGCUGAUAAAAGGCGCAGUUGGUGCCACCCCAGCAUUUCGCCCGGCCUCGUGCUCGCCGCUGCCCCGAGGGCUGCGCGCCUCGGCCUGGUGCAUCUGCGGGGCCGCGAAGGUCGGGCCCUGCUCUGCGCGGUCGGAGCGGCGGGGCUGCGAGGGCCGGUGGCUGGGCGCGCUCGGGAGCUACCGCUGGCGUUAG